rnacentral:misc_RNA from 1 species
GAAAAUCCUCAUCUCGGCCCCCCCUAAAAUUCUCCGGUGAUCUCAAUCAAAAUUCCACCGGAGUUGACCGCAGCCGGACUUAUUUGCUCCACUGUUUAACCGUAUACGUGUAUAUACGGUUUCUUCUGUGUUGGAUAUGGCUUCCCUGUCUACUCCAUGCCUUUAUCCUGAGAGAGGACGCAAUGGAGUAUUUUAUGCUAAUAGAUGUGUUGGCGGGAAACCUUUAUCAAAU